rnacentral:rRNA from 1 species
AGAUUGAACGCUGGCGGCAGGCCUAACACAUGCAAGUCGAGCGGCAGCACGGGUACUUGUACCUGGUGGCGAGCGGCGGACGGGUGAGUAAUGCCUAGGAAUCUGCCUGGUAGUGGGGGAUAACGCUCGGAAACGGACGCUAAUACCGCAUACGUCCUACGGGAGAAAGCAGGGGACCUUCGGGCCUUGCGCUAUCAGAUGAGCCUAGGUCGGAUUAGCUAGUUGGUGAGGUAAUGGCUCACCAAGGCGACGAUCCGUAACUGGUCUGAGAGGAUGAUCAGUCACACUGGAACUGAGACACGGGU